AUGCAAAAGAGAGAAUUCAGCACCUGUGGCAAUGAACAAAGCCGGUCCCUGUUAUCAGCUUGGACUGGUGCCACCAGCAGAGACAAAUCCGCUGUUUCCAAUGUGCCACUGCAGUUCAAGCUGUUUGGACCUGAUCUGGGAGGACGAUGCUGGGAUUAUCAUCACAACGGGCUUGGGAAGCAGGGCUCCCUUCCUGAAAUUCACUGUAGUCUUUGCAAUAAAAUGAAUCCGAUUGUAUCCUCCAAUUCCCCUUUUUUUUUGCAGGGGAAGAACACACAUGAUACGAUCAAAUUCUCUUUUCUGGCAUCUCUUGUACCAACAAGCAUUGUCCUACCAGCGCUUCCCAGGGUACUGAUAAAAAUCCAGACUUAAUUACUUGCCCUCCAUUACUGGGUGGAACCCUCAACCUCUUCAUACCCACAGUACGAAUUUUCAUCGAGCAGGAAUGUGCUGGCCAUUUACUGAAGUGGUGAACUGAGGAGUUCAGAGCACAACGGAGGUUUCCUAAGCGGAGGAAGAUAAGGCAAAGGAGCUCUCAUUCUUCCAAGGCACAGAUUUUUAUCAUAUCCCAAAAGCAAGCAGCUGAAGAUUCCAGUCACGAAGGACUGUGCUUUGAGAACGGGUUGGACUGCCUGCCCUUUCCUCCAGGACUGACUACCGGAUCCCAUUCAGGAUGAAAACAAGUUCUUAAACAGGUUAUACCUACUGCUAUGGCUCACUGCCAUUGUCAGAGGCUGAAGGCUUUUACAUACCUAAUUCUCCGUAGGCUCUUCUUGUACGUUCCCUGCAAGGGAGCCAGAACACGUGCAGCAUGCAGCUGUAUUCAGCCAUCAUCUCGGACAAACAUUACCUUAAAAACCCUGAAUGCAAAAAGCACCCCCCCACACUAGGUUGGCUCCAUGUUGAGUGGCAGAGGUAGUAUUUUAUUUUUCGAGCAUCCCUCCUCAAGGACACUAAAGAGUUUGUAAAACAUCACGAAACGAAAACAAAACAUCGGCAACAACAGAAAUGCAAACCUGCUGAAAAGUAAAACACAGCAGCAUUCAAAUAUUGGAAAACAUGAGAGCUAAAGUGCUUGAGAUAAUUUCUUAACUAUGCACAGUCUGAAGUCAGUCUUCCCCAUAUAAAUGCUAUUUUUUUUUAACAGCGCCUGCCUGGCUGCAUAGGUUUCUACACCAGUCUACGGCAGGAUAACACUACUAAGCCAGAGCCAUUACCCAAAAGGGCUAGGAGCAAUCUAUUUCUUUCUCUUCCUCAUACUAAAAGUAAGUUAAUAAAUAACAUUCAGAGAAACA
rnacentral:lncRNA from 1 species